rnacentral:rRNA from 1 species
AAUCAACGCUGGCGGCGUGCCUCAGACAUGCAAGUCGAACGCGAAAGUUCCCUUCGGGGGAUGAGUAGAGUGGCGCACGGGUGAGUAACACGUAGGUAAUCUACCUUCGGAUGGGGAAUAACAACCGGAAACGGUUGCUAAUACCGCAUAAUGCAGCGGCACCUAAUGGUGACAGUUGUUAAAGCGGGGGAUCGAAAGACCUCGCGUCUGAAGAGGAGCCUGCGGCGGAUUAGCAGUUGGUAGGGUAACGGCCUACCAAGGCUACGAUCCGUAGCCGGCCUGAGAGGGCGGUCGGCCACACUGACACUGACAUACGGGUCAGACUCCUACGGGAGGCAGCAGUCGGGAAUUUUGGGCAAUGGGCGAAAGCCUGACCCAGCAACGCCGCGUGAAGGAUGAAAUCCCUCGGGAUGUAAACUUCGCAAGAACGGGAAGAAUAAGUAGGGGACAAUACCCCCUAUGAUGACGGUACCGUUUGUAAGCUCCGGCUAACUCCGUGCCAGCAGCCGCGGUAAC